rnacentral:lncRNA from 1 species
UCCCUCCCACCCCAGGCUGGUGUUCCUCUGCACUCCGUGUCCUGGCCCAGAGUCCCUCUCGGCGCUCCCCAACCCGGCCCCCGCCCCUCCCUAGACCGGCCGGGCCCCGAAGUCAUGGAGCGCUGGCCUUGGCCGUCGGGCGGCGCCUGGCUGCUGGUGGCUGCCCGCGCGCUGCUGCAGCUGCUGCGCUCAGACCUGCGUCUGGGCCGCCCGUUGUUGGCGGCGCUGGCCCUGCUGGCCGCUCUCGACUGGCUGUGCCAGCGCCUGCUGCCCCCGCCGGCUGCACUCGUGGUGCUGGCUGGUGCUGGCUGGAUCGCGUUGUCCCGCCUAGCGCGCCCUCCUCGCCUGCCGGUGGCCACUCGCGCGGUGCUCAUCACCGGUGAGUGUGCAGAGCGCAGGGACACCAAGCUGGAGGGUGGGACCGCACACCUAGAGGGUUUCCCUUGGGCACCAUCAAGACGGACUCCGCUGCUCAGAAGUGAGAGUCCUUCUCUA